GACGAACGCUGGCGGCGUGCCUAAUACAUGCAAGUCGAGCGCAGGAAACUGACGGAACUCUUCGGAGGGAAGGCAGUGGAAUGAGCGGCGGACGGGUGAGUAACACGUAAGGAGCCUGCCUCAAGGAUUGGGAUAACUCCGAGAAAUCGGAGCUAAUACCGGAUAGUUCAACGGACCGCAUGGUCCGCUGAUGAAAGGCGCUUCGGCGUCACCUUGAGAUGGCCUUGCGGUGCAUUAGCUAGUUGGUGGGGUAACGGCCCACCAAGGCGACGAUGCAUAGCCGGCCUGAGAGGGGGAUCGGCCACACUGGGACUGAGACACGGCCCAGACUCCUACGGGAGGCAGCAGUAGGGAAUCUUCCACAAUGGACGAAAGUCUGAUGGAGCAACGCCGCGUGAGUGAUGAGGGUUUUCGGAUCGUAAAACUCUGUUGUAAAGGAAGAACACGUACGAGAGGAAAUGCUCGUACCUUGACGGUACCUUACGAGAAAGCCACGGCUAACUACGUGCCAGCCGCCGCAGUAAAAC
rnacentral:rRNA from 1 species